CAUUAUAAAUGUUGGGUUCUGCAGGGAGUGGUUUCCUUCUCCUUCACAGGGUGGCAGGCUGAUGGGAUCCAGCUGUUGCUCAUCACCACCAAUCUGCAAGGUCCUUAAAGGGGAGCGGCUUCCCAGAGUCAGAUGCCAGAUGGUUCCGCUUCUACAGUGUGAACCCGAGCUGAAUACUCUCUGAACUGGACCCACCUGAAGAAUCGGAUCCUAGCUGCUCUGUUUGGCCUUGCACCUGGGUGCGUCACGCCCGCCACUCAGCUGCUGCCUGUCCGCCCUCAAUCGCCUGCUGGAACUUCCCCCAUCUGGAAAACCACCACACCUACUGUUGGACCCCAUGUACUCUCCUCUGCUUACCUACCCACAGACCGCAAGUCACCAUCAGGUUACUCCAUCAUUCCCUUCAUUACUUCCCACUUUAACCGCUCGCCCUUUGCAGUUCCUCCGCUGGCCCGGUUCCUCCCUGCUGUCGCAGAUUGACGCCCCUCCACACACUCUCCAGCACAUUCAGUUACUAAAUAAAUCUGUUAAAACUG